UAUUCUGCCCCACGGGGAAGGAUGAGAAGCUUCGACUAAGGUUCGACUCGAGCGUAGCGAGAGAACGUUGCCGCAGGCAACGGUCCGAAGGGCGAGGCGCUUUAGCGCCGAGUAAUCCUUCCCCCACCACCA
rnacentral:sRNA from 1 species